rnacentral:rRNA from 2 species
AACUUUCAACAACGGAUCUCUUGGUUCUCGCAUCGAUGAAGAACGCAGCGAAAUGCGAUAAGUAGUGUGAAUUGCAGAAUUCAGUGAAUCAUCGAAUCUUUGAACGCACAUUGCGCCCUCUGGUAUUCCGGAGGGCAUGCCUGUCCGAGCGUCGU